GAGCUUGCUCUUAUGAAGUUAGCGGCGGACGGGUGAGUAACACGUGGGUAACCUGCCCAUAAGACUGGGAUAACUCCGGGAAACCGGGGCUAAUACCGGAUAACAUUUUGAACCGCAUGGUUCGAAAUUGAAAGGCGGCUUCGGCUGUCACUUAUGGAUGGACCCGCGUCGCAUUAGCUAGUUGGUGAGGUAACGGCUCACCAAGGCAACGAUGCGUAGCCGACCUGAGAGGGUGAUCGGCCACACUGGGACUGAGACACGGCCCAGACUCCUACGGGAGGCAGCAGUAGGGAAUCUUCCGCAAUGGACGAAAGUCUGACGGAGCAACGCCGCGUGAGUGAUGAAGGCUUUCGGGUCGUAAAACUCUGUUGUUAGGGAAGAACAAGUGCUAGUUGAAUAAGCUGGCACCUUGACGGUACCUAACCAGAAAGCCACGGCUAACUACGUGCCAGCAGCCGCGGUAAUACGUAGGUGGCAAGCGUUAUCCGGAAUUAUUGGGCGUAAAGCGCGCGCAGGUGGUUUCUUAAGUCUGAUGUGAAAGCCCACGGCUCAACCGUGGAGGGUCAUUGGAAACUGGGAGACUUGAGUGCAGAAGAGGAAAGUGGAAUUCCGUGUGUAGCGGUGAAAUGCGUAGAGAUAUGGAGGAACACCAGUGGCGAAGGCGACUUUCUGGUCUGUAACUGACACUGAGGCGCGAAAGC
rnacentral:rRNA from 1 species